rnacentral:rRNA from 1 species
AACGAACGCUGGCGGCAUGCCUAACACAUGCAAGUCGAACGAGACCUUCGGGUCUAGUGGCGCACGGGUGCGUAACGCGUGGGAAUCUGCCCUUGGGUUCGGAAUAACAGUUAGAAAUGACUGCUAAUACCGGAUAAUGUCUUCGGACCAAAGAUUUAUCGCCCAGGGAUGAGCCCGCGUAGGAUUAGCUAGUUGGUGAGGUAAAGGCUCACCAAGGCGACGAUCCUUAGCUGGUCUGAGAGGAUGAUCAGCCACACUGGGACUGAGACACGGCCCAGACUCCUACGGGAGGCAGCAGUGGGGAAUUUUGGGCAAUGGGCGAAAGCCUGACCCAGCAACGCCGCGUGAAGGAUGAAGUAUUUCGGUAUGUAAACUUCGUAAGAAUAGGAAGAAUAAAUGACGGUACUAUUUGUAAGGUCCGGCUAACUACGUGCCAGCAGCCGCGGUAAU